rnacentral:rRNA from 1 species
UACGUAGGGUGCGAGCGUUAAUCAGAAUUACUGGGCGUAAAGCGUGCGCAGGCGGUUUUGUAAGCCAGAUGUGAAAUCCCCGGGCUUAACCUGGGAAUGGCAUUUGGGACUGCAAGGCUGGAGUGCGGCAGAGGAGACUGGAAUUCCUGGUGUAGCAGUGAAAUGCGUAGAUAUCAGGAGGAACACCUGUGGUGUAGACAGCUUACUGGACCAUUUCUGACGCUGAGACACGAAAGCGUGGGUAGCAAACAGG